AGUGGACGCUGGCGGUAGGCCUAACACAUGUAAGUCGAACGGCAGCACAGUAAGAGCUUGCUCUUACGGGUGGCGAGUGGCGGACGGGUGAGGAAUACAUCGGAAUCUACUUUUUCGUGGGGGAUAACGUAGGGAAACUUACGCUAAUACCGCAUACGACCUACGGGUGAAAGCAGGGGAUCUUCGGACCUUGCGCGAUUGAAUGAGCCGAUGUCGGAUUAGCUAGUUGGCGGGGUAAAGGCCCACCAAGGCGACGAUCCGUAGCUGGUCUGAGAGGAUGAUCAGCCACACUGGAACUGAGACACGGUCCAGACUCCUACGGGAGGCAGCAGUGGGGAAUAUUGGACAAUGGGCGCAAGCCUGAUCCAGCCAUACCGCGUGGGUGAAGAAGGCCUUCGGGUUGUAAAGCCCUUUUGUUGGGAAAGAAAAGCAGCAGGUUAAUACCCCGCUGUUCUGACGGUACCCAAAGAAUAAGCACCGGCUAACUUCGUG
rnacentral:rRNA from 1 species